rnacentral:rRNA from 1 species
AUUGAACGCUGGCGGCAUGCCUUACACAUGCAAGUCGAACGGCAGCACGGGAGCAAUCCUGGUGGCGAGUGGCGAACGGGUGAGUAAAGUAUCGGAACGUACCCAGUCGUGGGGGAUAACGUAGCGAAAGUUACGCUAAUACCGCAUACGAUCUAUGGAUGAAAGCGGGGGAUCGCAAGACCUCGCGCGAUUGGAGCGGCCGAUAUCAGAUUAGGUAGUUGGUGGGGUAAAGGCUCAUCAAGCCGACGAUCUGUAGCUGGUCUGAGAGGACGACCAGCCACACUGGGACUGAGACACGGCCCAGACUCCUACGGGAGGCAGCAGUGGGGAAUUUUGGACAAUGGGCGAAAGCCUGAUCCAGCCAUGCCGCGUGCAGGAUGAAGGCCUUCGGGUUGUAAACUGCUUUUGUACGGAACGAAAAGGUUUGGCCUAAUAAGCUGAGCUCAUGACGGUACCGUAAGAAUAAGCACCGGCUAACUACGUGCCAGCCGCCGCGGUAA